GGGCGUGCGGCAAGCUAACACAUGCAAGUCGAGCGGAACGAGUUAUCUGAACCUUCGGGGGACGAUAACGGCGUCGAGCGGCGGACGGGUGAGUAAUGCCUAGGAAAUUGCCCUGAUGUGGGGGAUAACCAUUGGAAACGAUGGCUAAUACCGCAUAAUGCCUACGGGCCAAAGAGGGGGACCUUCGGGCCUCUCGCGUCAGGAUAUGCCUAGGUGGGAUUAGCUAGUUGGUGAGGUAAUGGCUCACCAAGGCGACGAUCCCUAGCUGGUCUGAGAGGAUGAUCAGCCACACUGGAACUGAGACACGGUCCAGACUCCUACGGGAGGCAGCAGUGGGGAAUAUUGCACAAUGGGCGCAAGCCUGAUGCAGCCAUGCCGCGUGUGUGAAGAAGGCCUUCGGGUUGUAAAGCACUUUCAGUCGUGAGGAAGGUGGUGUAGUUAAUAGCUGCAUUAUUUGACGUUAGCGACAGAAGAAGCACCGGCUAACUCCGUGCCAGCAGCCGCGGUAAUACGGAGGGUGCGAGCGUUAAUCGGAAUUACUGGGCGUAAAGCGCAUGCAGGUGGUUUGUUAAGUCAGAUGUGAAAGCCCGGGGCUCAACCUCGGAAUAGCAUUUGAAACUGGCAGACUAGAGUACUGUAGAGGGGGGUAGAAUUUCAGGUGUAGCGGUGAAAUGCGUAGAGAUCUGAAGGAAUACCGGUGGCGAAGGCGGCCCCCUGGACAGAUACUGACACUCAGAUGCGAAAGCGUGGGGAGCAAACAGGAUUAGAUACCCUGGUAGUCCACGCCGUAAACGAUGUCUACUUGGAGGUUGUGGCCUUGAGCCGUGGCUUUCGGAGCUAACGCGUUAAGUAGACCGCCUGGGGAGUACGGUCGCAAGAUUAAAACUCAAAUGAAUUGACGGGGGCCCGCACAAGCGGUGGAGCAUGUGGUUUAAUUCGAUGCAACGCGAAGAACCUUACCUACUCUUGACAUCCAGAGAACUUUCCAAAAAUGGAUUGGU
rnacentral:rRNA from 1 species